CCGGGGACCCAGGCGCCAGGCGGGCGGGUGAACCCGGCGGGUCCCUCCCAAUCUCCGCAGCCCCCCGCCUCCGAGUGGGGGGGACCCGGGCCUGGAGGGAGGCUGGGCAGGUGCCGCGGGCCGUGCCGAAAGCGCUGAAAUCGAAAACCCUCGCCACUCCAGAAGAAUCGAGGCAAAGGGAUCACGGGCGCUGCUCGGGCAUAGCCCCGCGCUCCGGCCAGCGCCGGCUCGCUCGUGGGCCCGCCGGGCUCGGCGGCCGGGUGGCAGGCACGCCCGGGGCGCGCCGAGCCGGGAGGAGGGCGCAGGCGAGGGGGCCGCAGCCGCCCCGGCCGGCCGCGGGAGAGCCUCUCCGCCGAGCUGGGCUCCGCGCCGCCCUCCGAGCCCGCCUCCAGGCCACGGCGCCGCCAGCCUCUCCGCGGCUCAGGCCGGAAGCGCUGAGCUGCCUCCCCGAAGCCGGGCACUGGCAUUUGUUGGUGGGAGGACAGGUACAGUAGAAGACAGAGACGCCCUGCUGUGAACAAACAGGAGUCCAGCAUAGGAGAAAUCUCAAAUGGCUUUCCUGGAAGAGGUGGAGCUUGACCUGGACACGGAAGGUCCAGUUUGAGUCUAAAUGCUAAGAAAUACAGUCCAAAAGAGAAGCUGGUGUCCAGUUAAGCCAUAAAAUGACAUCUGACCUAAGGAUCUUUCCACUUGGCUGUGACCUUCACCUUCACCUUCACCUCCAGAGCCCUCUCUUUCCCUUCCUUCCUUUCCUUCUCCCCCGCCCCCCUUUUCCUUAAACAAGCCACUGUUUCUGCCCAAACUAAGCAUGGAAGUCAACAAGUUGAGAGCAAUUCAAUUUCAAUAAUAAACAGAUAUCUUUUGGGCGUCCAGGACUGAAGCAAAGCCUUUCCAUGGGAAGUAUUAAUUCAAAGGGAGGAAACAGCAGGGUCAUGAAGGGCUCUACAAUGAGUGUGAAAGAGGAACCUGCCCAGCCACUCCUACAGUGAUCUGUGGAGAAUAACCAAGCUGAGGAGGAAGAGCAUACAGGCCCAAGCAGAAUUCUGAAGGAAUUUCUGGAAGUUCCAAUCCCAAACCACAUAAGGACUAAGUAUUGACCAGUCACAAUGAAUGAAACAAAAACUGAGAUCAUCACUCAAAUCUUUUCUCUGAAUGAGGGACUAAAAUGUUAGGUCAGGAGUGUUUGAGGUGAGAGCAGCAUUCACUGACUCCCUCCUUCAACCACCUGGAUUACACUACAAGGAGAGCUAGAUUAAAAGGAGGUAGAAUUCUUAGAAUUUGCAAAAAUAUGCUGGGCAAGAAAAGCCCAGAAAACCUGCCUCAGAGACAGUCAGUUCUGUCCACAUAUAAAAGAAAGGCACGGACAGGGCUAAAGGGGCUCUUAAGCCCAACCUGGAGGAAUCCCAGCCCUGGUGUCCUCAGGUCUCCAGCUCUCUGCAGCCAUAUAGACAUAUGUCAGUAUGGCUGAAAAGCAACGUCUAUGAAGUUUAACAGCUUUCUGGUGUAACUUCUGAGAGGGCUGAUUGCUUAUUCAUGUGGAAGCAAGGCGCCCAGUUCAUUUUGCCUGUUUUUGCCACUCUUUGUUGUUUUGGGGAGUGUUAUGGUAGCUGCAAAUGGCUUCUCAGGUGACAUUUGCUGACAUUCAGUGAAGUACAUUUAUCAGCAUUCACUAGCUCACCUCCACACAUGCAAUCCAUUUUGUUUUGUUCUUCAUAGCAACCUCCUUCCCGACACUCGUGCCCUGAAAAUGAUAAAUGGCAAGGUGGCGUAUUUCUCAAGCUGCACUCAAAUGUCACUGUGAAAAAUCUUUAAUGGACUAAGUGUAGCUUUUCACGUUACGACUUGUCAGGUACUGAGAAAUUCUAGAGUUUCUCCUUAAUCCACAAGUCAUUGGAACCACACAUCUGCAGGUAGAGACUAAUUACAAGCUGUACCAGUCAGAGCUGGGCAAGCAGAGACCAAGGAGAAAACAUUUGCUAUCAGUUAAUUCUUUAUUACUAUCAUCAUCAUCAUCAUUAUUAUUAUUCUUGUUCCAUUUUGCUACUUCUUUUUCUACUCAGAGAAUAUGCCAGGUAUGAGCAAUCUGCUAGUCUAAUUAAUUGAGUGACAGCCCCUAACUAGCUCUCCAUGCAGGCUCACACUCUCCAUAUAUACUAAGCUUUCUCCAUAAUACUUUUCAUCAUUUCCUCCAAGACUCAAAAUCACGUAGGCUUCUCCCCUCCAAAAUAUCUGACUCUGAAUCAUAAUCCUGGUGCCUCCGGGUUGGCCAGAAUGGAGUAGUUGAGAGGUACCUGAGAUGUGUCCCUUCUCCUGUCCCUCAUCAGAGCACAUGGCCAUCUAGGGGAGCCAAGAGACUCACAUCACCACCUAAUAAGCCUGCAUUCUCUUCCCCUAUUGCACGCCUGGACAGGACCAUGCCACAUUUACAAUGGUGGCCUACACACUUCCACUAAGCCUUGCUCCCUCUGGUUUUACCUCUUUGAAUGGACUCAGCUCACAGCUUUGCCCAAGGGCAAAUCAACCCAUAGUUCAUUGUCUGUGGUUUCAGUGUUUUUUGCCCCUGCUUCCCAAUCUACAUGUUGAAACCUCAUCACUGAUAUGAUAGUGUUAAUGGAUGGAUUUUCUAGAGUGCUAUCAGCUCAUGCAGGUGGGCUGUUAUGAAGGAGCUUCAGAGAGACAUCUUGGCCCUUCCACAAUGUAAGCUAGAAAGUGGGCUCUCACCAGUACUGACUCUUGACCUUUGAUUUCCUGCUUCUAGAACUG